rnacentral:rRNA from 1 species
AUUGAACGCUGGCGGCAGGCUUAACACAUGCAAGUCGAGCGGGGUGAUGGUGCUUGCACUAUCACUUAGCGGCGGACGGGUGAGUAGUGCUUAGGAAUCUGCCUAUUAGUGGGGGACAACAUCUCGAAAGGGAUGCUAAUACCGCAUACGUCCUACGGGAGAAAGCAGGGGAUCACUUGUGACCUUGCGCUAAUAGAUGAGCCUAAGUCGGAUUAGCUAGUUGGUGGGGUAAAGGCCUACCAAGGCGACGAUCUGUAGCGGGUCUGAGAGGAUGAUCCGCCACACUGGGACUGAGACACGGCCCAGACUCCUACGGGAGGCAGCAGUGGGGAAUAUUGGACAAUGGGGGGAACCCUGAUCCAGCCAUGCCGCGCGUGUGAAGAAGGCCUUAUGGUUGUAAAGCACUUUAAGCGAGGAGGAGGCUCUUUUGGUUAAUACCCAGAAUGAGUGGACGUUACUCGCAGAAUAAGCACCGGCUAACUCUGUGCCAGCAGCCGCAGUAA